CCCACUUUUUUCCAAUUUCAGUUUUUUUAUUUGGUCCCAUCAUCUGCACACCGUUUUUUUUUUCUAUCUUUCCUUCUGUGUCCUUAGUAGCUUCCAUCACUCUUGCUCUCUCAAGAUUGCACUGAGACAGAACACUCACUCACUCAAGGAUGAUCUGAAUGAGACAGCAAGACGGAAACUCGAAAACGAAGAAGUAGAGGAGGAGGUCGGUGAUGAAAAGAGAAGCAAAAGUAAAAGGAAAAAAACAAACUCCACAAGAAAUGCAACAAAAAGUGAAGAUGGCACCACCUAAUAAAGAUGAGACACCUAGCAGACGUGUUUCUAUUUUUUCGCUUGGUUGGGGCAUCUCCGUUGGGGUGAAAACUAUUGAUGUCAGCAAACUAAUUCUCAAAGAGGUUAAAAAGAAGAAGCACGAGCAGUGGCGCAUGAAAAAUGCUUUAGCAGAAAUGAUAACUGCAACUACUCCUCACAUCAUACGAACCUACAAAAAAGUUCAACAAAUUAGUUCUACAAGCAUCAUACCUCUCUCAAACUGAAAAAGUUGAAGCAUAGGAUUAAGUCUUCUUCAAGCAAUUGGAGAAAAAGUGUUGCUAUGGACAAAUUAUCUAAUAUAAAGAUGCACAAUGAAAAUGUGAAGCAUCAAGUGAAAACAAAUGGGUGGCAACCAUGGCAUUGAUGUUGCAAGAAAACUUUAGUUUGUAGAUAUAGUUCAUCUUUUACUCAAGAUGAAUGUUUUAUUUUAUUUUUAAUGUUGCUAACUACAAACGUGUUUUCGAAACAUAUUGUA